CCUACGGGUAGCAGCAGUGAGGAAUAUUGGUCAAUGGACGCAAGUCUGAACCAGCCAUGCCGCGUGCAGGAAGACGGCUCUAUGAGUUGUAAACUGCUUUUGUACGAGGGUAAACGCAGAUACGCGUAUCUGUUUGAAAGUAUCGUACGAAUAAGGAUCGGCUAACUCCGUGCCAGCAGCCGCGGUAAUACGGAGGAUUCAAGCGUUAUCCGGAUUUAUUGGGUUUAAAGGGUGCGUAGGCGGUUCGAUAAGUUAGAGGUGAAAUCCCGAGGCUCAACUUCGGAAUUGCCUCUGAUACUGGUCGGCUAGAGAGUAGUUGCGGUAGGCGGAAUGUAUGGUGUAGCGGUGAAAUGCAUAGAGAUCAUACAGAACACCGAUUGCGAAGGCAGCUUACCAAGCUACGUCUGACGUUGAGGCACGAAAGCGUGGGGAGCAAACAGGAUUAGAUACCCCAGUAGUC
rnacentral:rRNA from 1 species